rnacentral:rRNA from 1 species
AGUCACUGACAUUAGAUACCCCUGUAGUCCAGGGUGUAAACGCUGCAGACUUGGUGUUGGGAACCCUUCGGGGGUGCUCAGUGCCGGAGAGAAGUUGUUAAGUCUGCUACUUGGGGAGUACGUCCGCAAGGAUGAAACUUAAAGGAAUUGGCGGGGGAGCACCGCAACGGGAGGAGCGUGCGGUUUAAUUGGAUUCAACACCGUAAAACUCACCAGGGAAGACUGUUACAUGAAGGCCGAGAUGAAGACUCUGCUAGAUUUUCAG